UUUUUACGCAAUAAUCAAUUACUAUGGAAAUAAUGUCAAAGAUAAAGUAAGUACGUAUACAGACGUGUAUUCCUGGUUCCAAGUGGGUUCUCUGUUCUGGGCCUUGCUGACUGGUUUGAUGUUGGAUAAACUUGUUUCCAGGGCAACCACAUACGAAAAAGAGCGAUGCUUCGUGGUUCCAUUUUUCCUCACAGUUUUGGCAGGAUUCAUCGCCUCCAUUGCGUGCAUCAUCCCCAUUAUCGAGUUGCAGUUUGUGGCCAUUUUGUUUCAUUCUAUGUUGAAAACCGGGAGUUACGCCACAA